AGGCUAUUUGAGUGUGAAAAACCAUAGGCCUACUGUUAGCCAUUGUUGUUAGCAGCUAGCUAACGUUCCCUUGAUAACAUCUAUCAACCAAGUCCUGUCUCCAACGCGAAUUAAACACUGCCCGAGAUCUUGUCUCAUCGCUGCAACUCCCCAAUGCGCUCGCGAGGUGAAGGUCUAGUCAUGCGUCCUCUGAAACGCGCUUCUUAACACCUGCUCGCUAAACCCGGAAGCCAGCCGCACCAAUGUGUUGAAAGAAACACCCUUCACCUGACAACUGAGGUCAGCCUGCAGGCGCCCGGCCCGCCACAAGGAGUAGCUAGAGCACAAUGAGCCAACUGGUUGGCUGGAGGCUAACAGAAGAGACUGGGCGUCCAUCUUGGAUUCCCAGACCCAGACGGGUGCAGCCAAGGGCCCAGUGGACAACAUCACAGAGCAGGCCAGGACCAGAGUCUGCAGUCCAUGAAAUCCUGCUGGUGUCCGAUGUUGCUGGUGGGAGAGACUGGACCUCUGAAGUGGCUGGUCACAAACCUGGGCCCUGGAAAAGGACAUUGGAUCAGGAGCUGUCACUCUUCCUACUUGAGUCGGAACCGGCACUGUGCUGCUAGGGACAGAGACUCCACCACACAGAUCACCACCAGUGGACAGGGGGACUGAACACCCUCAGUCCUGGUGGUCAUCAGAGAGACGGAGGCUCCAGUCAGGGAUCCAGUCUGCAGCCCAGACCCUUCUCUUUAAGGUCUCAGUACAGUGAUGAUGCAGGGCCUGGGGCUGAUAGAGAUGGACCCUCCUUUUCUUAUGAUAAAAACACCACAGUUUCCAUGAUUAACAGAGCAGGUCACCCUGGGCUUCAGCCUUCACAGAGAGUGGUGGGAAACUCCCCUGGUGGUAGUGUAUCAGGAAGUCUGUCUUCUCCUUCAGGGUCUCAUCUAAUGCCUCGUGACUGGGUUCAUAGAAGGCCCUGGACCUAGAUAUAGCCUUCCUCAAUUACAGUACCUCAUGGUUACCCCACCAAUACAGACAGUGCCAGGAUGGGCUUUCACCACAAGAGGUACAGUGCAUUUGUAAAGUAUUCAGAUCCCUUCCCAUUUUCAACAUUUUAUGUUGCAUCUUUAUUCGAAAAUGGAUACAAUUUAAAUUUGCGCUUAUCAAUCUACACACAAUACCUCAUAAUGUCUAAGUGAAAACAGGGUUUUAGUCAUUUUUACACAUUAUAAAAAAAACACGUACCUUAUUUACAUAGGUAUGUAUCCAUUUUCGAAUAAGGCUAUGACGUAACAAAAUGUGGAAAAAGUUACGGGGUCUGAAUACUUUCCGAAUGCAGUGUACCUAGCCUAUAACACAGCUCACAAUCCCAACACCCAAACAAGAGGUAUAACGGUCAAGGAGGGAGCUCAAAGACUAAUGCUGCGUUCGUAACCAAUUUUGAGGUGGUGUUUUGUCACGCACCGCACAGGUGCAGUGAAAUGAUUUUGUUUUAUAGGGUCAACCAUAGUAGUAUGGCACCCCCUGGAUCAAAUUAGGGUUAAGUGCCUUGCUCAAGGCACAUCGACAGAUUUUUUCACCUUGUCGUCUCUGGUAUUCGAGCCGACCUUUCGGUUACUGCCCAACGCUCUAAGGCUACCCGCCGCUCUUACCAGUUGUGAAGUCGUUAAUACAAGUUGGAUACAUUCACGUGCUUUGAACUCAUUGAUAAACACUCAUUGGCUAAUGGACAACAAUCUGCAUCAACCAUAAACAAAAAGUACAGCUAGACAAUUGACAAAAGACAAUUGAAUAUUUACCUUAUUGAGGUGAUGUAGAUGGAAUAAAGUCAUUCUAUUCUUUUCUACUCUAUUCUUGCUAACGCACUGUUCUUUCUAAAGUAGUCUGCUCGUUAGAAAGAAUAGAGUAUAAAAUAAUAGAAUGACUUUAUUCCAUCUACAUCAGUUAAGUAUUAAGUAAAUAUUUCAAAAGAUACUGAUCAUAGGAGAUUGGAAGUGUUUUGUAAUAAGCAAUACUGUAUUUCAAAGAACAGCGUGCAUACAUUUUUAAUUUAACCACACCGUUUGAGUUUCAAUCAAUAAGAUCUGUUCUCUACAGUGUAAUUGUAAGUAGAGGUGCAACCAUGAACAGUAAUAAUAUGGAGUGGCUUGUAUUCAUGGAUGCCAAGGGAAGCUAGGCUUCCUCCAAAAAAUUACCAAGAAAUAAAGAAAAAUACAUACAAAACAA